ACAAAUCCCAAUCUGGAGGCCAUCUCUCUAUCAUUGAGAGAAAAACAAAAUAAGCAAUUUCUUCAAAGUGGCUUUACUCUCUAUCAUUGAUCCCUUUGUGUAGAACUUGGGCGUUGAGGAAGAGCAGCAUUACCAUCCAAUGGUUUCAAUUUCAUCCAUCAUUUGCAGCUUCACCAUUCAAAUUUUUGGCUUCAAUUCCAUUCGUGGUUUCGGAGUUCUCAAUGGAGAUCUGACAAGAGUACGGCAAGAAAUAAUGCUUGGAUACCUAUCUCUGGAUCCUUAGCUCUAUUCAGUAAUCGGUAUGUGACACCUCUGAGCAGUUCAUUUUAAAUUUAAAUUUCAUUAUACUCCUAACAAAUUGUGUUCUUAUUCAAUAAUUGCUUCUUUCUUUUGGAGUUUCAUUUAGAGUGUUUUCAACUUAAAUUUCAGUUUGUCAAGUAUGAUUUUUCUUAGAUAGAAAACUUUCAAAUUACAUUGAUCAAAUAUGCAACUCUAACAAGCAUUGUGUAUAUAGUAUAGUUUACUAAUUGUUACUUCUUGAAAAGAUAUGGCCAUGAAUUAUAUAAACUGAAAUUCAUGCCCAUGAAUUUUAGUUUUUUAAAAGAUUCUAGUUGGUAUAUAUGUUUGUUCUUUUUUUGACAUAAUGGAGUGUUGAUGAAUCUAAUAUUUUGAUUCUGGAUGGUAUAUAUGUGUUGCCAAAUGUUGAUUUUGAUUGUUUUUUUCAUAUUUCUGCUGUAAAAUGAAGAAA